UACGUAGGCAGCAAGCGUUGUUCGGAAUUACUGGGCGUAAAGCGCGCGCAGGCGGCACUCUAAGUACGCUGUGAAAUAUCCCGGCUCAACCGGGAGGGUGCAGUGUAGACUAGGGAGCUAGAGGUCGGUAGAGGGGGGUGGAAUUGCUGGUGUAGCGGUGAAAUGCGUAGAGAUCAGCAGGAACACCCGUGGCGAAGGCGGCCCCCUGGGCCGUACCUGACGCUGAGGCGCGAAGGCUAGGGGAGCGAACGGG
rnacentral:rRNA from 1 species